rnacentral:lncRNA from 1 species
UACUCUCUCAUUAUUAUUAAUGCUAGCCAACAUCAUAUCAUUGUGAGGUGGACUUGGUAGUAGUGAGUCUCCCAUACCCUACUAAGAGUUUCAUCCAAAACUCUCGAAUUCCAAUGAGGGAUAUGGAAUUUGCCAAAAAUAGUGGGUGGUGCUAUUUGAUUUAAAGACCCGAAUCAAAUGGCUUAAAAUCAAUCAAUUUAUAUUCGUUAUGUAUUUACUUACCAUUAUAUUUGCAAACGUUAUCCCACACUUGACAAAUAAAAGCCGAAUGCUUUAGUUUCCGGACUUGGUACAACAAUCCCAAAAAUUGUCUUAAAUGGAUUGUAGAAGUACCUAAGUAGUCUCAUCCUCACAAUCUUCCUAUUAAUAAUGUAUCAUUGGAAGAACAUGUUAGAUAAAGUCUAUCAUAAAGAGGACAACAUUUUUAAUGUCAUAAUUCUUCAAUUACAAUUUGUUGUAUGAAGAAAUAAGAGUUGCUUUGAACAACCCUUAAUCAAUGCAAACAUUAGUGCUUGUUUCUUUGUUACAUGAACAAGGAACUUUAGAAGAAAGCACAAAGGCAUGGACACUUAAUGUGUCAUGAUUCUUCACUUACAAAUUGUUGUAUGAAGAAAUGAGAGUUGCCUUGUACAACUCUUGAAAGUUUGUAAUUAUGUUUAGAACAUAAUGGUUGGUUGACAAAAAUAGUCCAUCAACAUGGACUUAUGAUGAUUUUUGAAUCAUUGAGUGUUGAAGUGAUAAACCACUUAACGAGACGGAAACUAGGCAAGGACUUCACCUUUAUGUCCCUAUCCUAAUGGUUCACUAAGUUUAUUGUAAACUGUAUGGUGAACAAUAAACACAUACUCCCCAAAAUGUUUGAUGUGUAUAACACAAUUGAAAUAAGUUUCAAGAGAGAUAGUGGGAGUUUAGGGACCAUGACUAAUGUAGUCAAAGGUGAAAGUCAAAUAAAGAAGAUAAAAAUAACUCCAAGGGAACAAACUUUCUUUAUGAAAGGAUGGACAUUGGAAGGGGUAUUUGCUAGAAAUGUCUUGCAAGUGUCAAGAACACACCUUUCGAAGGUGUUGUAAAUUGUUCUUGAAUA